GGCUCUUCCUGUUCUUGUUUCACCUGCAGAGGUUCUAACUCCUCCUGGUCCAGAGUGGAUCUCCUCUCCUGGUUAUAAACGUUACACUUCAGGGAAUCUGGAGAAGAAAACAGAGAAAAAGAUAAUCCAGGCCAUUGCCAUGGCGAAGCCUUUGCCAGACAUUUCUCCAUCAAGUAUUGCACCAUCUACAAGAAACUUUGGGGGUUGCCAGUGAAGCUGUCCUUCACAUUCUCGAGCAGAUGACCCAAGAACUUCAAUCACAGAAGACAACUUUUCAGCUCUGUGGUGAUCAUGAAACCAGCUGCCUACUGGCCAUUUGAACAUAAGAAGUUAAAAGUAAUUGAACUCAUGUCUCCAUUUCAACAAGCCAAUAACAUCUCUUGUUCCAGUAUUUACAGGAUAAAUUUUUGGAAUUUUGCCUUAA